rnacentral:rRNA from 1 species
GACGAACGCUGGCGGCGUGCUUAACACAUGCAAGUCGAACGAUGAACCCGGAGCUUGCUCCGGUGGAUUAGUGGCGAACGGGUGAGUAACACGUGAGUAACCUGCCCUUGACUCUGGGAUAACUGCGGGAAACUGUAGCUAAUACCGGAUACGACCCUCGGCGGCAUCGCCAGGGGGUGGAAAGAAUUUCGGUCAAGGAUGGACUCGCGGCCUAUCAGCUAGUUGGUGAGGUAACGGCUCACCAGGGCGACGACGGGUAGCCGGCCUGAGAGGGUGACCGGCCACACUGGGACUGAGACACGGCCCAGACUCCUACGGGAGGCAGCAGUGGGGAAUAUUGCACAAUGGGCGCAAGCCUGAUGCAACAACGCCGCGUGAGGGAUGACGGCCUUCGGGUUGUAAACCUCUUUUAGUAGGGAAGAAGCGAAAGUGACGGUACCUGCAGAAAAAGCACCGGCUAACUACGUGCCAGCAGCCGCCGUAA